UACCAUGCAGUCGAGGGAGAACCACACUUCGGUGUGGGGAGACCGGCGAACGGGUGAGUAACACGUGAGGAACCUGCCCCUGAGACCGGAAUAACCAUGGGAAACCGUGGCUAAUGCCGGAUGUUCUCUUUGUCCCGCAUGGGAUGUUGAGGAAAUGGUCCGCCGCUCAGGGAUGGCCUCGCGGCCUAUCAGCUUGUUGGUGGGGUAAUGGCCUACCAAGGCAACGACGGGUAGCUGGCGUGAGAGCGCGACCAGCCACACUGGGACUGAGACACGGCCCAGACUCCUACGGGAGGCAGCAGUGGGGAAUCUUGCACAAUGGGCGAAAGCCUGAUGCAGCGACGCCGCGUGAGGGAAGAAGGCCUUCGGGUUGUAAACCUCUUUCAGGAGGGAAGAAGCGAAAGUGACGGUACCUCCAGAAGAAGGACCGGCCAACUACGUGCCAGCAGCCGCGGUAAUACGUAGGGUCCAAGCGUUGUCCGGAAUUAUUGGGCGUAAAGAGCUCGUAUGCGGUCCCUUAAGUCGGAAGUGAAAUCUCAAGGCUCAACCUUGAAACUGCUUUCGAUACUGGCGGACUUGAGCAGUAGGGAAAGUGGAAUUCCUGGUGUAGCGGUGAAAUGCGCAGAUAUCAGGAGGCACACCAGUGCCGAACGCGGCCUUCUGGCCUGUUCUGACGCUGAGAGCGAAAGCGUGGGAGCAACAGAUUAGAUACCUGGUAGUCCACGCCGUAACGAUGGUGCUAGUGUGGGGGGUUAUCCACUUCCCUC
rnacentral:rRNA from 1 species